CGUCCCUACGGGGCGCAGCAGUGAGGAAUAUUGGUCAAUGGGAGAGAUCCUGAACCAGCCAAGCCGCGCGAGGGAAGACGGCCCUAUGGGUUGUAAACCUCUUUUGUCGGAGAACAAAACCCGGGACGUGUCCCGGACUGCGUGUAUCCGAAGAAAAAGCAUCGGCUAACUCCGUGCCAGCAGCCGCGGUAAUACGUAGGCGGCAAGCGUUAUCCGGAUUUAUUGGGCGUAAAGGGAACGCAGGCGGUCUUUUAAGUCUGAUGUGAAAGCCUUCGGCUUAACCGGUGUAGUGCAUUGGAAACUGG
rnacentral:rRNA from 1 species